rnacentral:rRNA from 1 species
AUUGAACGCUGGCGGCAGGCCUAACACAUGCAAGUCGAGCGGAUGAAGGGAGCUUGCUCCUGGAUUCAGCGGCGGACGGGUGAGUAAUGCCUAGGAAUCUGCCUGGUAGUGGGGGAUAACGUCCGGAAACGGGCGCUAAUACCGCAUACGUCCUGAGGGAGAAAGUGGGGGAUCUUCGGACCUCACGCUAUCAGAUGAGCCUAGGUCGGAUUAGCUAGUUGGUGGGGUAAAGGCCUACCAAGGCGACGAUCCGUAACUGGUCUGAGAGGAUGAUCAGUCACACUGGAACUGAGACACGGUCCAGACUCCUACGGGAGGCAGCAGUGGUGAAUAUUGGACAAUGGGCGAAAGCCUGUUCCAGCCAUGCCGCGUGUGUGAAGAAGGUCUUCGGAUUGUAAAGCACUUUAAGUUGGGAGGAAGGGCAGUAAGUUAAUACCUUGCUGUUUUGACGUUACCAACAGAAUAAGCACCGGCUAACUUCGUG